AAGACUAAAACGGUAGCAAAUAUUGUUAGUAAGACGGGGGAGAAAUAACCCCCAUAGAAUAUAAAAGGUAAUCACAUCUGCAUUAUAUUCUAACCGAAGGU
rnacentral:ncRNA from 2 species